CGGGCUGCACCUCCAUGCCGCUCCUGCGGGGAUAUCGAUGUGCCAUGCCUCCUCUAUGCCUCACCCACCGCCGCACCGCGGGCCCCACAGUGGGUACCCGGGGAGCGCUGCUCCCCGCGGUGUCCGCGGGCUGCAGGGGGAUGACCCGCUCCUCCGUGGGCCUCUCCUGGGUUGCAGGGAGCUGCUGCUACGUGCCUCCUGCCGCUCUGACCUCGGAGCCUGCAGGGCCGUUCCUCGCACAUUUCUCACCCCCGUCUCCCAACUGCGGCUGCACGGCAGUUUCCAUUCAAUAACUGCGCUCUCCCAGCGUUGCUCACGGCUCAGCUCCUGGGCCCUGCUCACACAGGCCUCCCCAGCUAUGAAUACCUUGCCACAUUGAAUCUGUUGUGGAAGUUGGAGUGUAACUAUUUGUGUUUCACAUCUGAUGGAUGCCUUCAGUUUAUCUGCUCUCCAGAAGACUUCCGGAAGACACAAGUUUUGUUCUUAACAUCAAUUUUGGUAGCCAGCAGAAGAAUGAAUAUGUUAAAAUCUUAAGCAAAUCAAAUCCAGUUACAAGAUGAGAACAAUGCUGCAAAGAACUUUUUACUUGGAGUUUUCAUUAGAAGGUAAUGAUAGUAUCAUUCAAAGAAAAAACUGAAAAUUUGUGGAUAUUAUUUCUGUAUGAAGAUAUUUUGUAAUUUCCAAAUUAAUCGCUAUUGUAAGCAUGUGAUAUCAUGUAUUUAUAUCUGAUGCAUAAUUUGCAUUGCAAGAAUGUCAGUAUUAAUGCUCUUAACAUAUUUACUGCAUCUGAUAAGGUAAUAUUAGGCAGCUAGAUUGGCAAGCUUGAUUCAGCAAGUCACAAAUAUAUACAUAAAGUAAAAAAGGACCACUUUUUUUUUCCUCUCUUUUUGUGGAAUUCUUCAUGAUAUUGAGAUGUAAUAAAACUACCAAACAGAAUUUGAUUCACAAAUCUGGAAUGAAUAGGAAAGGAAUAUGUUUUCUGUUUAAGGUUUAUUUUAUGUAAUAUGCAAGGAAAAAAGAAUGUUUUGCAUUCAUAUUUUCUAAAGUUCUAUUAACAAAGACCUAUGGCUUUUCUUUGAUAAAUAGCUAACUUGUUCGGUGGAAUGCACGGUAAGAAAUAUUCUUAAAUGGACAAUUGUCCUUUUUGUAAUUUCAUUUAUAUAGUAAAAAUAAUCAGAAAAAAUCACCUGAGAGCUAAUUUUUUAAUCUCUCUGGAAAAGUAAAAUGUAUUUAAUGAUUUUCUGAAUGUUUUGGAAAGGUAUGUGAAAAUAAUGUAUUUGUAUUAAUCAGAACACCAUUUAGCUUUUAUCUUCUAUCAUCAUGCAGUAUUCUGUCACAUCAGCGUAGCAGCGCUAUAAAAAAUCUGAAGGUUUCUGUGUGAAGCUUUGACUACUGUAACCUCUUUCUUUGAACAAGUGAAUCCCAAAGUACAUAAAUAAAGGCAUGUCAGUUUAAGACAAGUUUUCAGCCUUAGGUGUGAGGGGUGAAGUUCUGGCUGACUUACAUACCUGACAUUGAGCCUAAAAUCACAGGUGGAUUUAAUGGUACUUUAUAGUGAAGUACAGAUAGUUUUUAAAUGUAAGAACUGAUAGGAUUGGUGUAUAAGAUUGUUAUGUAGUUUUUAAAUUGUUGGGUUAUGGAUAUCCCAUUUUUGAGUGAAGUUGCACCAUUAUGCAUAUGCCCAAUAUCAGUACAGUCAUUUCCUUGUCAGUGUGGAAAUGAACUUUGAUAGUAUGAGCAUCUUUACCCAUUUAAUAGCAGUAAGACAGUUGAGGGACCAUGCUAAUAUUGCAGGAGAUUUGAAAGGCAUAGCAUUUGCUGUGCAUGGUUAUGAAAAUAACAACUUUAUGCAGAAACUGCACUGACACUUUCUGUAUACAUCACAUCAGCCACAUAUAAAUGGCUGUAGAGAGAAUUAGAUCCAGAUUCCCCUAAGGGAUUUCAACAUCUAAUGAUUUUGAUGAACACCAAUUGAGAUUUUGAAAGAUCUUUAACAAGUUAGGUACUUAUCUCCCACUGACUUUAUCUAUUUAGUCACAUUGCAGGGAAAAAAAAAAAAAGCCAUUAGACUGUUCUAAGCAGCUUUAGAUGCCUAGAAGAAAGGCACUCAUUGAAAAAGUUUGUCCUAUUUACAGUUAAUGAUUUGCUAUUUCUUUUAAAGGCUUAAAAUCUAUAAAAUUAUGGUUAUUGAUUACACAAACGCAGUAUUAUUUUUCUAAAUAAUUAUAAUAAUAAUAAUUUCAUUCCAAAGUAAUAGUAAUCUAAUAAAGCUGCAUCCCAUAAAGACAAAUUUGAUUUAUACAGUUUAAGGACCACACUGCAAUUAUAGAAGCAUACAUAUGUGUAAUUAGUUUCUUGAAUAAAAAAUAUUCAAUUAAAAACCUGCAGAACAGGUUAUAAAAGGCAGGAGCUAUUGUUUGAAACUGGGACUAAAGUUUUCUAUACUAUUGAACAAAACAAGCCAGAGUGAAUAUGAUACUUUUAUCUCCAGCACAGAGGCUUGAAAGCAAAGCAGGUUUAUUUCGCACAGCUAUUUAGGUCAGUUCAAAGACCCACACAUUUAGGUUUCCUGCAGAGCUCUACUGCAACCAGAGACUGACAGAUGAAACGAGUCUUUUCAUUUCUGUUUUAUUACCUGCCAUAGCAGUCAGUUAUACCUGAUCAUAUAAAAACAUAUCAUAAUUUUUAUUAAAG
rnacentral:lncRNA from 1 species